rnacentral:rRNA from 1 species
UAAGGUGGUUAUAGCAACGGGGCUCACCUCUUACCAUUCCGAACAGAGUAGUUAAGCCCGUUAGCGCCAAUGGUACUGCAAUCCGUGGGAGAGUAGGUCACCGCCUUCC